AUUGAACGCUGGCGGCAGGCCUAACACAUGCAAGUCGAACGGUAACAGGAAGAAGCUUGCUUCUUUGCUGACGAGUGGCGGACGGGUGAGUAAUGUCUGGGAAACUGCCUGAUGGAGGGGGAUAACUCCUGGAAACGGUAGCUAAUACCGCAUAACGUCGCAAGACCAAAGAGGGGGACCUUCGGGCCUCUUGCCAUCUGAUGUGCCCAGAUGGGAUUAGCUAGUAGGUGGGGUAACGGCCCACCUAGGCGACGAUCCCUAGCUGGUCUGAGAGGAUGACCAGCCACACUGGAACUGAGACACGGUCCAGACUCCUACGGGAGGCAGCAGUGGGGAAUAUUGCACAAUGGGCGCAAGCCUGAUGCAGCCAUGCCGCGUGUAUGAAGAAGGCCUUCGGGUUGUAAAGUACUUUCAGCGGGGAGGAAGGGAGUAAAGUUAAUACCUUUGCUCAUUGACGUUACCCGCAGAAGAAGCACCGGCUAACUCCGUG
rnacentral:rRNA from 1 species